rnacentral:rRNA from 1 species
ACCUUUGUGCGGGGGAUAGCUUUACGAAAGUAGAGGUAAUACCCCAUAUCCUACAUAGCUUAUGGUUGUGUAGAAAAGAUGGCUUAGACUUCGGUCGCUAUCGUGUAAAGAGGGACCUGCGUCCCAUCAGCUUGUUGGUAGGGUAACGGCCUACCAAGGCAUUUGACGGGUAGCUGGUUUGAGAGGAUGACCAGUCACACUGGGACUGAGACACUGCCCAGACUCCUACGUGAGGCUGCAGUCGAGAAUCUUUGGCAAUGGGCGAAAGCCUGACCAUGCGACGCCGCGUGCGGGAUGACGGCCUUCGGGUUGUAAACCGCUGUUACAGGGGAAGAAGAUCCUUUUUGCAAAUAGUGAUUAGGGUUUGACGGUACCUUGAGAGAAAGCCACGGCUAACUCCGUGCCAGCAGCCGCGGUAAUACGGAGGUGGCAAGCGUUGCUCGGAUUUACUGGGUGUAAAGGGUACGUAGGCGGUUAUACAAGUCCUGCUUGAAAGGCUCGGGCUCAACCCGAGUUCGUGGUAGGAAACUGUAUGACUUGAGGAUGAGAGAGGUAAGCGGAAUUCCCGGUGUAAGGGUGAAAUCUGUAGAUAUCGGGAGGAACACCAAUGGCGUAGGCAGCUUACUGGCUCAUUUCUAACGCUGAGGUACGAAAGCUAGGGGAGCAAACAGGAUUAGAUACCCUGGUAGUCCUAGCCGUAAACUAUGCACACUAGGUGUUGGGUCCCUUGUGGACUCGGUGCCGUAGGUAACCUGUUAAGUGUGCCACCUGAGGAGUACGGCCGCAAGGUUGAAACUCAAAGGAAUUGACGGGGGCCAGCACAAGCGGUGGAACAUGUGGUUUAAUUCGAUGCUACUCGAAAUACCUUACCCAGGCUUGACAUGUGGGAAGUAGGAACCUGAAAGGGUGACGACUCGUAUCCAAUCGAGAACCUUCACAGGAGCUGCAUGGCUGUCGUCAGCUCGUGCCGUGAGGUGUUGGCUUAAGUGCCACAACGAGCGCAACCAUUGCUAUUAGUUGCCACCGGGGGGCUUUGCCCUGCCGAGCACUCUAAUGGGACUGCCAGCGAUGAGUUGGAGGAAGGUGGUGAUGACGUCAAGUCAGUAUGGCCCUUAUGCCUGGGGCCACACACGUGUUACAAUGGGGCGUACAACGCGCUGCAAACUCGCGAGAGUAAGCUAAUCGCUAAAAACGCUCCCCAGUUCGGAUUGCAGGCUGCAAUUCGCCUGCAUGAAGCCGGAAUCGCUAGUAAUGGCAGAUCAGCACGCUGCCGUGAAUACGUUCCCUGGCCUUGUACACACCGCCCGUCAAGCGAUGGAAGCCGGAAGCACCCGAAGAUGGUGCACCAACCCGCAAGGGAGGAAGCUGUCGAAGGUGAAGCUGGUGACUGGCGCUAAGUCGUAACAAGGUA